ACAUGUUCAAACACGUUCAAUGACGUCAUAGAGAGGGAGAGAGAGGAACUAGUGUGUCCAGGGGCGACUUCGGCGGUUCGCCGCCCGUGUCUGAACACGUCCAAACAUGUUUAAACACAUCUUAACAUGUCCAAACACGUUCAAUGACGUCAUAGAGAGUGAGAGGAAAAGCUUUACUAUAAAUAUUGAAGCGAACGUUUGAUCGUCAUUCUCGUGCCAUCAUGCUCAGCUUGGUAGAUCCUCCUAAGUAAAGAGUAUCGUUUCCAGUAUACAGCACUUUUGCUGCGCGUGAAGUCUGUUUUUUCCCGCCUCACAUAUUUUGGGAGAUUGGUAGCGCCCGCUUCUUCUGCACCAACUGCGGUGGAUUGUGGUCCAAAGAGCAAAAGCAUUGGAUUGAUACGCCCGUUUCUUGGCUGUCGGACGGUACCGUUAGACGUACGUUGCGAAGGGCUUCGAAUAUUGAAGGAAGAUGGAGAAGGUGGACCAUCAGUGUCACUCUGUGACUGAAGAAGAUUAUUACGAAUGGCUAGUGACGGGAGAUCUACCCCUGGUCCUAACCUUCAAGCCUCCUCCGAAGACCUUCUUUUUG